rnacentral:lncRNA from 1 species
GUUCUUUGCUCAUUUUUGUAUUGUAAAGUUAAUCCUUCUGUUUUGUAAGAAUUAGAACCCAUUGUCAAAUGCUACAUGUAUUUCCCCCCUUUAUCAUAUUUCUGUAUCAGAUCCUUGUCACUUCUGUUCCAAAAUUUAGUUUUGAGAUAUAAUCUAGGCAACUUGAGAUACAGUUAAGGCAGUAUCUUCUAAAAGGUGGUUAGCUUCUGUAGUAGUUUUUAUGUUGUCUAUAAAUCUCAAAGUGUUAAGAAAGUGUUU